rnacentral:rRNA from 1 species
UACAGAGGUCCCAAGCGUUGUUCGGAUUCACUGGGCGUAAAGGGUGCGUAGGCGGUCGGGUAAGUCUGAUGUGAAAUCUCACAGCUUAACUGUGAAACUGCAUUGGAUACUAUCCGGCUCGAGGAAUGGAGGGGAGACUGGAAUACUUGGUGUAGCAGUGAAAUGCGUAGAUAUCAAGUGGAACACCAGUGGCGAAGGCGAGUCUCUGGACAUUUACUGACGCUGAGGCACGAAAGCUAGGGGAGCAAACGGG